GACCGCGUAGCUCAGUUGGAAGAGCAUUGGACUAGUAUUCCAAAGGUCGUAGGUUCGAAUCCCGCCGUGGCCA
rnacentral:tRNA from 1 species